rnacentral:rRNA from 1 species
UACGGAAGGCAGCAGUGGGGAAUAUUGCACAAUGGGCGCAAGCCUGAUGCAGCCAUGCCGCGUGUAUGAAGAAGGCCUUCGGGUUGUAAAGUACUUUCAGUCGUGAGGAAGGUGUUAAGGUUAAUAACCUUAGCAAUUGACGUUAGCGACAGAAGAAGCACCGGCUAACUCCGUGCCAGCAGCCGCGGUAAUACGGAGGGUGCGAGCGUUAAUCGGAAUUACUGGGCGUAAAGGGCACGCAGGCGGUUAAUUAAGUUGGAUGUGAAAUCCCCGGGCUUAACCUGGGAAUGGCAUUCAAGACUGGUUAGCUAGAGUCUUGUAGAGGGGGUUAGAAUUCCAUGUGUAGCGGUGAAAUGCGUAGAGAUGUGGAGGAAUACCGGUGGCGAAGGCGGCCCCUGGACAAGACUGACGCUCAUGUGCGAAAGCGUGGGGAGCGAAAC